rnacentral:rRNA from 1 species
ACGUGGUAGGGGAGCGUUCUGUAGGCUGAUGAAGGUGCAUUGAGAAGUGUGCUGGAGGUAUCAGAAGUGCGAAUGCUGACAUGAGUAACGAUAAUGUGGGUGAAAAGCCCACACGCCGGAAGUCCCAGGUUUCCUGCACGACGUUAAUCGGAGCAGGGUGAGUCGGCCCCUAAGGCGAGGCUGAAGAGCGUAGUCGAUGGGAACCAGGUUAAUAUUCCUGGACUUUUUAUAAGUGGUGAAGUGGGGACGAAGAAGGCUAGGUGAGCCAGGCGUUGGUUGUCCUGGUACUUGCAUGUAGGGGGGAAGACUUGGCAAAUCCGGUUUUCCAUAACUCUGAGGUGCGAAGUGGUUCUGACCUUUUGGUACAGAGAAGUCAUUGAUGCCCGGCUUCCAGGAAAAGCUGCUAGCCAUAACUUAUAGAGAACCGUACCGCAAACCGACACAGGUGGACAGGUAGAGAAUACUAAGGCGCUUGAGAGAACUCGGGUGAAGGAACUAGGCAAAAUGGUACCGUAACUUCGGGAGAAGGUACGCCCUUUUGGGUGAGGGCAUUUACUGUCUGAGCUUAAGAGGGCCGCAGAGACCAGGUGGCUGCGACUGUUUAUUAAAAACACAGCACUCUGCAAAUUCGUAAGAAGACGUAUAGGGUGUGACGCCUGCCCGGUGCCGGAAGGUUAAUUGAUGGGGUUAUCUUCGGAGAAGCUCUUGAUCGAAGCCCCGGUAAACGGCGGCCGUAACUAUAACGGUCCUAAGGUAGCGAAAUUCCUUGUCGGGUAAGUUCCGACCUGCACGAAUGGCGUAACGAUGGCCACACUGUCUCCACCCGAGACUCAGUGAAAUUGAAAUCGCUGUGAAGAUGCAGUGUACCCGCGGCUAGACGGAAAGACCCCGUGAACCUUUACUAUAGUUUUGCACUGGACUUUGAUGAUGACUGUGUAGGAUAGGUGGGAGGCUGUGAAGUGAGGACGCUAGUUCUCAUGGAGCCGCCCUUGAAAUACCACCCUGUUGUUAUUGAGGUUCUAACUUGGUCCAGUAAUCCUGGAUGAGGACAGUGUAUGAUGGGUAGUUUGACUGGGGCGGUCUCCUCCCAAAGAGUAACGGAGGAGCACAAAGGUACCCUCGGUACGGUCGGACAUCGUACCAAGAGUGUAAAGGCAAAAGGGUGCUUGACUGCGAGAGUGACGGCUCGAGCAGGAACGAAAGUUGGUCUUAGUGAUCCGGUGGUUCUGAAUGGAAGGGCCAUCGCUCAACGGAUAAAAGGUACUCCGGGGAUAACAGGCUGAUACCGCCCAAGAGUUCAUAUCGACGGCGGUGUUUGGCACCUCGAUGUCGGCUCAUCACAUCCUGGGGCUGAAGCAGGUCCCAAGGGUAUGGCUGUUCGCCAUUUAAAGUGGUACGCGAGCUGGGUUUAGAACGUCGUGAGACAGUUCGGUCCCUAUCUGCCGUGGGCGUAGGAAAAUUGAGAGGAGCUGCUCCUAGUACGAGAGGACCGGAGUGGACGAACCUCUGGUGCACCGGUUGUCACGCCAGUGGCAUGGCCGGGUAGCUAAGUUCGGACGGGAUAACCGCUGAAAGCAUCUAAGCGGGAAGCCUCCCUCAAGAUGAGUUUUCCCAUGAAGCCCGUUGAAGACUACGACGUUGAUAGGCAAGGUGUGGAAGCGCAGUAAUGCGUGAAGCUAACUUGUACUAAUUGGCUGAUUGUCUUGACCAU